rnacentral:ncRNA from 2 species
GAGACUUAUGGAUGCGAUGACAACUACCUAUAUGUGGGCACCUAUGGUAGUUGGAGCAGGAGGUGCAACCGGCCUAAGUUAU